rnacentral:rRNA from 14 species
AGAAAACAAUAGUGAUUCCCAAAGUAGCGGCGAGCGAAAUGGGAACAGCCCAAACCAGUGUUGUUUCGGCAAUACUGGGGUUGUAGGACUGCGAUAUCUUAACAAAAAUGAACGAGAAUGAUCUGGGAAGAUCAGCCAUAGAAGGUGAAAGCCCUGUAUUGGUAAGUUUUUGAGCGGUAGCAGUAUCCUGAGUAGGGCGGGGCAGGUGAAACCCCGUUCGAAUCUACCGGCACCAUCCGGUAAGGCUAAAUACUCCUGAGAGACCGAUAGUGAACCAGUACCGUGAGGGAAAGGUGAAAAGUACCCUGAAUAAGGGGGUGAAAUAGUACCUGAAACCAUACGCUUACAAGCGAUCGGAGCCCAAUAAUUGGGUGACGGUGUGCCUUUUGCAUAAUGAGCCUACGAGUUACUCCUCUCUAGCGAGGUUAAGGAUUUAAGGUCCGUAGCCGGAGCGAAAGCGAGUCUGAAUAGGGCGUUUAGUUAGAGGGGGUAGACGCGAAACCCUGUGAUCUACCCAUGACCAGGUUGAAGUGACGGUAACACGUCAUGGAGGACCGAACCAGUUGACGUUGAAAAGUCUUUGGAUGAGUUGUGGGUAGGGGUGAAAGGCCAAUCAAACUCGGAGAUAGCUGGUUCUCUGCGAAAUCUAUUUAGGUAGAGCGUCAUCCGAAUACCCUCGGGGGUAGAGCACUGGAUGGGUAAUGGGGACUCACCGUCUUACUGAUCCUAACCAAACUCCGAAUACCGAGGAGUACUAGAUGGCAGACACACGGCGAAUGCUAACGUCCGUCGUGAAGAGGGAAACAACCCAGACCGCCAGCUAAGGUCCCAAAGUCAUAGUUAAGUGGGAAACGAUGUGGAAAGGCCCAGACAGCCAGGAGGUUGGCUUAGAAGCAGCCAUCCUUUAAAGAA